GCGCCCUUAGCUCAGUGGAUCAGAGCGGCUGGCUACGGACCAGCAGGUCGGGGGUUCGAGUCCCUCAGGGCGCG
rnacentral:tRNA from 2 species